GUACUGUUUAUAGUUUGAUUCACAGCAUUGCCGGCGACAUGGGCAUUGGGAGGAAGGGCGGCUGUAUGUGAUCACAGGAGCCGGUAGGGGUUCGAGGCGGAACGGGGGAGGCCGGCUGCCUUUCUUUAGAGCAGACACUCUUAUCCAGAUGAAGGGUGAUCUCUGAAGACCUCUGAUAUAUGCUUCUUGAGCUCACCAACUGUGGCAUUGCUGUCCAAAAUCAGACAUUUCUUAUCACCAUUCAACUGUUACUUCCUGAUCCAUGUGCCUUAGGAAUGCUGCAUGGAUGCUUGAGGACUGCAGAUUUGGCCAGGACAAUAAAUUGCUAUGUCUGUACUGUGAGACACCUAAGAGACAGGAAGGACAGUUGAUCGUCCUUGCAGUGGCAGACAACGUGUAACAACUCCUGCACAGGAUCGUUACAUCCGUAUAUCACACCUGCGGGAAAGGUACAGGAUGGCAACAAAAACUGCCCAAGUUACACCAGGAACACACAAUCCCUCCAUCACUACUCAGAAUGUCCGCAAUAGGCUGAGAGAGGCUGGACUGAGGGUUGUAGGCCUGUUGUAAGGCAGGUCCUUACCAGACAUCACUGGCAACAACGUUGCCUAUUGGCACAAACCCACCUUAGCUGGACCAGGCAGGACUGGCAAAAUGUGCUCUUCACUGACAAGUUGAGGUUUUGUCUCUCAGGGGCAAUGGUCUGACUCACAUUUAUCGUUGAAGGAAUGAGCAUUACACCGAGGCCUAUCCUCUAGAGCGGGAUUGAUUUGGAGGUGGAGUUUCCAUCAUGGUCUGGGGCGGUGUGUCACAGCAUCAUCUGACUGAACUUGUUGUCAUUGCAGGCAAUCUCAACUCUAUGCGUUACAGGGAAGACAUCCUCCUCCAUCAUGUGGUACCCGUCCUGCAGGCUCAUCAUGACAUUGCCCUGUAACAUGACAAUGCCACCAGCCACACUGCUCGUUCUCUGCAUGAUUUCCUGAAAGACAGGGGUGUCAGUGUUCUGCCAUGGCCAGCGAAGAGGCUGGAUCUGGCAUGUCUGGAACCUGUUGGAUUGGAGGGUGAGGGUCAGGGCCAUUCCCCCAGAAAUGUCCAGGAACUUGCAAGUGUGUUGGUGGAAUUGUGGGGUAACAUCUCACAGCAAGAACUGGCAAAUCUGGUACAGUCCAUGAGGAUGAGAUGCACAGCAGUACUUAAUGCAGCUGGUGGCCACACCAGACACUGACUGCUGCUUUUGAUUUUGACCCCCCCCCCUCCCCGUUCAGGGACACAUUAUUCAAUUUCUGUUAGUCGCAUGUCAGUGAAGCUUGUUCAUCUUAUGUCUUUGUUGUUGAGUCUAUUUAUUUUCAUACAAAU